AGUAAAUCUUGCUGUUGCUCACUCUUUGGGUCCGCACUGCCUGUAUGAGCUGUAACAGUCGCUGUGAAGGUCUGCAGCUUCACUCCUGAAGCCAGCAAAACCAUGAACCCAGCAGAAGGAAGAAACUCUGAACAUGUCUGAACAUCAGAAGGAACAAACUCCGGACACAUCAUCUUCAAGAACUGUAACACUCACCACGAGGGUCCGCGGCUUCAUUCUUGAAGUUAGUGAGACCAGGAACCCACCAAUUCUGGACAUACUAGCAUCAUGCUCUUGUACAGCCUGCAGAACUACACAUCUGCUUCUGACUUCUUCUGCCUCCCUCUUGAACAUGUAAAGACAUUUGUGAUGAAAAUGGGCCUACACAGGCAUAUAAAAAUCAGCAAAGUUAAAAACUGACCUGCCGGGCGCAGUGGCUCACGCCUGUAAUCCUGGCACUCUGGGAGGCCGAGGCGGGUGGAUUUCCUGAGCUCAGGAGUUUGAGACUAGCCUGGGAAACAUGGCGAAACCUUGCCUCUACUAAAAAUACAAAAAACUAGCCGGGCAUGGUGAUGCGUGCCUGUAAUCCCAGAUACCCAGGAGACUGAGGCAGGAGAAUCGCUUGGACCAAGACAGCGGCACCGCACUCCAACCUGGGAGAUGGAGCAAGACUGUCAAAAAACAAAACAAAAAAAACCUACUAGAAGCAAGGCUGUGAGCAGAAAACUAAAAACUGAAACAGAAACCACAAUUUUCCAAAUGCUACUGUUACUUACAAAAUAAGAAAGCAUUAUACUAAAUCAAUAUCUAAGACACAAACUAAGUUCAAACUCAACAACAGUGUAUUUAGAUUUACAUAUAUCAAGAAGACACCAUUAAUACAGUGAACUAACAUUAACUCUAUACAGAAGUAUAUUUUUGAAAAUAAGAAAACUGCUUCUUUGAGUAACUUGUUUGGUUGACAUAUUCUGACAAAUCUUGUAACCAAGAUAUGGGGGUCUCACUUUGUUGCCUAGGCUGGAGUGUAAUGGUGAUUCUGACAAAUGAUCAUAGCACGCUACAACCUCUACAUCCUGGGCUCAAGAGCUUCUCCUGCCUCAGCGUCCCAAGUAACUGGGACUACAGAUUUCAGUUUAGGUUUAUCCGUGGAAAGAUGGAGGAAUGAGAGCUAGAGAACAAGAGAGCAAGUGAGAGUAAUGGAAAGUCCAAAGGAAAAAGAUGGACAAGACGAAUGAAGGGAAACAAGAAGGAAAAGAGAGAGGCAGAGGGAGAGGGAGACUUAUUUGAGGAUUUAUUUUUUAAUCAGUAGUUGAUGUUGAUUUUUUCAAAUAAUUCUUAAGUCUUUAGCUUUUUGUGUUAUUAAAAUUUUAAAAUAUAGAAAAAUUUAAUCUAUUACUAUGGUCUCAAUCGAUUUUCUAAUAAUUGUCUUUCGUACAUUUGCAUGUCCCAUGAUUUUUUACAAGUCAAAUCCCAUGACAUCUGUCUGAGGUGGGGCAAAGUAAAAGUAUUACGAAGGUUGCUAUUAUAAACUGUUCUGUAGAUGAUAACAUCUUUGCUGAGCUAUAAAAGCACACUCAUGGGGUAAGAGGAGACAGAAGACAGUGUGAUUUAAACAGCUAAUUACUGGAAAUAGUGAGAUAUCAUAUCAGAUAAAUAAGGUGAUCAUAAAUGGAUGUCGAUCCCAGAGUGUGAUGCAAUUAUGCUCUUUCCUGCCAUCACCUCAGCACAAGAGAAUAAAACUCUUAGUUUUAUCUCUUAGACAUGAUUUGUACUAAUAGCUGAUAGGAGAAACCCCCAAAUUAGUUUUCUCUUGAAUAUAUUUGGAUUUCUGCUGAUCUUUAAGCUCUGAGGACUCCUUAAAAUCUGGAAAAGAAGUGACACACCUUUAUAAGUAGUGAACAUUCUACCAAAUGAUAUUUAUGUAAGUGAUCUAUUGCUGCAUAAUAUAGUAGAACAAACUCAGCAGCUAAAAACCAGCACACAUGAUUCUCUCAUAGCUUCUCUGCAUCAGAAAUCCAGUUAUGGCUUAACUGUAUCCUCUGCUUCAGGGUCUAUCACAAGGCUAUCAUGAGGAGAUAGAACAGUACUGGGUUUUUAUGCGAAAUUAGACUUGAGAGACUCUUACCCCUUCCAAACUAACAUGGUUGUUGGCAGGAUUUAAUUCCUGGCAGCUGGUAGGAUUGAGAGACUUGGUUUCCUGCCAGCUGUUGGCUGAAGGCCUGAGUUCUUUGUCAUUUGGACCCCUCGAAUAUAGCCCCUAGCUUCAUCAAAGUGUGCAAGCAAAGGGAGUGGCCACAGCAGAGACGGAGUUAAUUAGUAAGAUAGAAGGUAAAAUUGUAUAUCAUGUUAUCAUGGAAGUAACGUUCUAUCAAUCACUGUGCCACAUUCUGUUGGCUAAAAGCAAAUUACAACUUCCUGUUUCAGCUCCAGCAUGUAAAGAGCUUUGAAGUGAUGGCUUGGUUCUUACACAAAGAUACAAGAAAAAUAAACCAAAAUUUGACAACUAUUUUUGUAUCUGUCAGAGAAAUGAAAUUCAGAGAGGUGAAAAUGUGAUGAGACGGCAGAAAGAUUUCACUAAGUAUAAAUUUCCACAUAGUGUUAAAACUUUGAACCCAGUAAAUAUUAGUACAAUAAAAAUAAAAUAAUUAUAGAGCCUGAAAUAAAUAUAUGCUAAAAUUAAAUAAUAGAAAAUCAAACCAUAGACUAAUAUCGAAUUGGUGACUUUUCUCCAUGAAGAAAUAACGUUAACAACUUUGGAAUACAGUAUACUGAAACUGACUGGGUGCCUUGCAGAGAUAUAGUCUCAAGAACAAGGGAAUCUUGUAAUUUAAAUAGAUACUUUUAAUUCUGUUUGUUUCCAAAACCACAAGCUGGACUCUCCUCUUUUAAGAGGGUCUUUAUUAAGUCAUUUGGGUUCUGACACUGUGUUCUGGACCAUGUUUCUGGUGUAAGUCUUCCACGUCUUGCUUAUAUGCUGACAUCUCAGGUCAGACUUCCCCUGCAGGGAAUCACCGUCUUCACUCUGCUUGAGUUGCAACACCUUGUGCAGGUUUACCUUCUUGCAGAUAUGACCAUUUUUCCUCUGUGGUGCAUGAGCCACUCUACAUUUUCUCCUUAAGUUCACAUGGACUAGCAAUGAACAGAACCUUAAGAACUUUCCUAAAUAUACAUUAUCAGAAUUGUGAAGAGCCCAGGCCUAAACAAUUAGCCAUCUUAGAAGAUCAAUUACCAUAAAAAAUGAUAAAAAGCCUAAAUAUUAUAAUAUUAUAAUUAUUAUAAAAUCAUAAAGGACAGGAAACAAACAUGCUUGUGUAAUGUUAACUUUGAUUCCCCAAACUUUUAAAAUUUACUUUAAUUCUUUUUUAGUGAAUAACAAAAAGAUGUAUUCAGACUGGUAGUAAAUGUGUAUGCAGCUGUGCACUUGCUCUCUUUCUCUCUCCCUAUAUGUAUGCAUAUAUAUUAUUCAAAUGACCAACACUAAGCAUAAAAUCAUUGUAAAGUAACAUUUGCUAAAUGAGAGUGCAUCAAAUUAAAAAUAAGCAUGUUUAUUAAGAGAUGUUUUAUAUCCAAUCCUAAAAAAAUUGGGAUUCAUUUGGUUCUUCUGUAAGUUUUGUUAAAAAAAAUAUGUA
rnacentral:lncRNA from 10 species